rnacentral:sRNA from 1 species
UCUCCGUUGGUGAACCAGCGGAGGGAUCAUUACCGAGUUAUACAACUCAUCAACCCUGUGAACAUACCUAAACGUUGCUUCGGCGGGAACAGACGGCCCCGUAACACGGGCCGCCCCCGCCAGAGGACCCCCUAACUCUGUUUCUAUAAUGUUUCUUCUGAGUAAAACAAGCAAAUAAAUUAAAACUUUCAACAACGGAUCUCUUGGCUCUGGCAUCGAUGAAGAACGCAGCGAAAUGCGAUAAGUAAUGUGAAUUGCAGAAUUCAGUGAAUCAUCGAAUCUUUGAACGCACAUUGCGCCCGCCAGUAUUCUGGCGGGCAUGCCUGUUCGAGCGUCAUUACAACCCUCAGGCCCCCGGGCCUGGCGUUGGGGAUCGGCGGAGCCCUCCGCGGGCACACGCCGUCCCCCAAAUACAGUGGCGGUCCCGCCGCAGCUUCCAUUGCGUAGUAGCUAACACCUCGCAACUGGAGAGCGGCGCGGCCACGCCGUAAAACCCCCAACUUCUGAACGUUGACCUCGAAUCAGGUAGGAAUACCCGCUGAACUUAA